CUUUAGAGCGGCCCGCGUCUGAUUAGCUAGUUGGUGGGGUAAUGGCCCACCAAGGCUACGAUCAGUAGCUGGUCUGAGAGGAUGACCAGCCACAUUGGGACUGAGACACGGCCCAAACUCCUACGGGAGGCAGCAGUGGGGAAUCUUGCGCAAUGGGCGAAAGCCUGACGCAGCCAUGCCGCGUGUAUGAUGAAGGUCUUAGGAUUGUAAAAUACUUUCACCGGUGAAGAUAAUGACUGUAGCCGGAGAAGAAGCCCCGGCUAACUUCGUGCCAGCAGCCGCGGUAAUACGAAGGGGGCUAGCGUUGCUCGGAAUUACUGGGCGUAAAGGGAGCGUAGGCGGACAUUUAAGUCAGAGGUGAAAUCCCGGAGCUUAACUUCGGAACUGCCUUUGAUACUGGAUGUCUUGAGUGUGAGAGAGGUAUGUGGAACUCCGAGUGUAGAGGUGAAAUUCGUAGAUAUUCGGAAGAACACCAGUGGCGAAGGCGACAUACUGGCUCAUUACUGACGCUGAGGCUCGAAAGCGUGGGGAGCAAACAGGAUUAGAUACCCUGGUAGUCCACGCCGUAAACGAUGA
rnacentral:rRNA from 1 species